AGAGUUUGAUCCUGGCUCAGGAUGAACGCUAGCUACAGGCUUAACACAUGCAAGUCGAGGGGCAUCAGGAAGAAAGCUUGCUUUCUUUGCUGGCGACCGGCGCACGGGUGAGUAACACGUAUCCAACCUGCCCUUUACUCGGGGAUAGCCUUUCGAAAGAAAGAUUAAUACCCGAUAGCAUAAUGAUUCCGCAUGGUUUCAUUAUUAAAGGAUUCCGGUAAAGGAUGGGGAUGCGUUCCAUUAGGUUGUUGGUGAGGUAACGGCUCACCAAGCCUUCGAUGGAUAGGGGUUCUGAGAGGAAGGUCCCCCACAUUGGAACUGAGACACGGUCCAAACUCCUACGGGAGGCAGCAGUGAGGAAUAUUGGUCAAUGGGCGAGAGCCUGAACCAGCCAAGUAGCGUGAAGGAUGACUGCCCUAUGGGUUGUAAACUUCUUUUAUAUGGGAAUAAAGUUUUCCACGUGUGGCAUUUUGUAUGUACCAUAUGAAUAAGGAUCGGCUAACUCCGUGCCAGCAGCCGCGGUAAUACGGAGGAUCCGAGCGUUAUCCGGAUUUAUUGGGUUUAAAGGGAGCGUAGGUGGACUGGUAAGUCAGUUGUGAAAGUUUGCGGCUCAACCGUAAAAUUGCAGUUGAUACUGUCAGUCUUGAGUACAGUAGAGGUGGGCGGAAUUCGUGGUGUAGCGGUGAAAUGCUUAGAUAUCACGAAGAACUCCGAUUGCGAAGGCAGCUCACUGGACUGCAACUGACACUGAUGCUCGAAAGUGUGGGUAUCAAACAGGAUUAGAUACCCUGGUAGUCCACACAGUAAACGAUGAAUACUCGCUGUUUGCGAUAUACAGUAAGCGGCCAAGCGAAAG
rnacentral:rRNA from 1 species